CCCGGGGGCCAGCAGAAAAGCCACAGGCUUGCGAAAGCCUUCAAUGAGCUCUCAGUUGCAUCCUUGGCCAGUGAGAAACUUCAGCGGGCAAAAAAAAAAAACAAACCCCAGCGCCCCGAGUCCUUCACAGCUCAGAGCUUUGCUACGGGAUGACCAUGCGAGUGGCUGAUUCUGCUCCCUGAGCCCUAUGUCUUCUGCCUUCUUCUGCCUUCCCGAACUUCUUCGGGGCACGGCUUUUGCUGGUUUUUACUGUCAUCCUGAAACAUAAGCCUUCGAAAAUAAUAUUAUCUUACAAAAUCUCAGCAUAAUGCCAGCUCUUAUUAGAACUGAUGGCUGCUGUGGGUAAAAAAGAACAAAAUAAAUAAAAAUCGCAGUGUGUCCGUAGAGUCGAUAAAAAAUACCGGAGGAAGGUUUAUGCAAAGGCAACUUUUGAGGCAUGGGCAGAUGGAGUAGGCGAAAGGUGAAGUUUAUACAUUCUUUCCAAUUGGCUUGGCUGUGAUAAAGCCAGCAAAGGACUAGCUUUUUAUUCAGUGAUCAUUCUGAUCUAAAAUUCUUUCUGUACCAGCUACGUAACUGAAAUUUCUGGUUAUUAUAAGUGUGGGGGUGAAUUCUGCCCUCUGAUGUGUGCACAAGUUCCGUUUUCCUUUAGGAUCAUUUGGGUUAAUGUACAUGCAUGUCAGGGCAGAGUUUAAUAUUAUUCCUGUGGAACAGCGAACAACGUUAGGUCAGACACGCCGGUUUCAUUUAAUACUAAGCAUGUUUAAGAAGAAAUGUCAGAGUUCAGUUCCGCUGGCUCGUGAUGUAAGUCAGGAAUUACUGAAGCCAGACACCUACCCUGCUCUUACACCAGUUUUGCACUAGGAUUACUCCACUGAAAUAAAUCAGCUCUUUAACAGGAAUCCACCGUACUGACGUAUGAGCAGUUCAUAAACUUUAUGCAAACAAGGAAAUCAUGUUACACAGCGCACUGAAGAGGGGCUGGCUGAAUCACCUGCACCCUGUAGCUGCUCAUGAAUGUAGAUGUUGCAAAAAGGAAUUGAAUUUAUAGUUAUGGGCAGCCUUUAGGACUUCGGCAGAAGCUCCGUGGAUUUCACUCCCUACAUUCAGUAGUUGCAUCUGUUUUAAAAGUAAAGAGUUGCCUGCACAAAGAAUCAUAGAAUCAUUAAGGUUGGAAGGACCACUCUAAGAUCAUCUAGUCCAACCAUUUGCCCAUACCUGUGACUGCUAUAGACCAUGUCCCUCAGUGCCACAUCUACCCUUUUCUUGAACACCUCCAGAGACGGUGACUCCACCACCUCCCUAAGCAGCCUGUUCCAGUGCAUCACCACUCUUUCUGGGAAGUUUUUCCUAAUAUCCAGCCUGAACCUCUCCUGGCACAACUUGAAGCUAUUACCUCUCAUCCUAUCACUUUUACCUGGGGGAAGAGGCCAACCCUAACUUGCUACAACCUCCUUUCAGGUAAUUAUAGAGUGAUAAGGUCUCCCCUGUGCCUCCUUUUCUCCAGACUGAAUAAUCCCAGUUCCCUUAGAUGCUCCCCAUAAGACUUGUGCUCCAGAACCUUCAUGGCUUUGUUGCCCAUCUCUGGACACUUUCCAGGGCCUCGAUGUCUUUGCUGUAGUGUGGGACCCAAAACCAAACACAGUGCUUGAGAUGUGACCUCGCCAGUGCUGAGUACAGAGGGAAUGCCCACCAAACAUGAGAUUAAAAAAUAAAUAAAUCACAGACUGGGACCCAGCAGCAAGAAGAAGGUCUUGAAAUUGGUGAUGAGAGCAGAGUUUCCUGGAGGUUUCUAUGUAUCAGGCCCACUUCAACGCAGUUCAGGGAAGUGCAAUGCAAUGGCAUGUGCACAGAUUUCCUAUUGCAUGGACCUGAUGGUCAUCCUUAGUUCAUAACCCAACCUCCCACCAUGGAUCCUCUAUGUAUUAGUCAGUCUGGUGUCAAGACCACUGUGCUCUUCCCAGAGCCAGCUUGUCAUCUUGCCUUGAUUCAAACAUGCUUUUUGGAAGAGAGCCUUUUUACAGCAGAAGACAUUUGCUCCAUUUCCUCCAUCUACUUGGCUCUUUCCAAAGCCUCCUAUGAAACCAGUCCUCCUUGAAGGAUCUGUUUCCAGGAUAGGAAUCUGAAAGCAAUCACUGCUGAGAAAACAUACCCAAAGCCAGCUUCCACUGUGCAGACGAGUGGUGUAAGGAAACCUUCACAAAGAAGGGAUAAAAGGUGUGACACAUGCAGUGGGGUGGCGCUUGUCAGGCCCAGUUCAGCCACCUGUAGUCUGAAGGUCUGUGGCAGAGCUGAUCUCCCUAUGCUCAGCAGAUGGAAAUUGGAACUUCUAGGUGGUUCAUUUGACAAGUGGACAUAAAAUGGGUCAAGUGAAGGAACUGAAAAAUAGUGGUCUGGAUUCAUUCCUCUUCUAUUUAGAAGUUCAGCUUGGCGUGCUUGCAGUAUGUAUGCUACACGAUAUGGAAGUACUUACCCCAAAGAAAUGCGGAAUGUAGAGUCUUUAUCCUGGGAAAGAUCUGGUAGAGGUGUGUACAACUGUCCCUCAGAGAAGCUGAAUUGGAAACAGCUGAUCACAUUCUCUCACUUUUAUCAAGAGUGGAACUCAUCAACUGAAAUAAACUCGUGGUGGAUUCCAAAGAAACAUGAGAGUUGCCUAAUGGUAAGGAAUUAAAUUUCAGAACUCAUUGCCUUGGGAUGCAGGGAUGGCUUCAGAGAGAUUAAGUACAUCUGCAACAUAACGAUUAUUCAAAGGCUGAUUUCAGACUUGGGACUCUGGACAGUUGUGAAUAUUUGGUCUGAAUCAGGAUGACCAUACAUACACUCUUUGUUUUGUUCUUCUGAAUGAGUGCCUGAGCAAUCAUUGAGGGACAUAGGAAGCUUGACUUUCAGCCAGCCAUACCAGUGAUUUCUCUGAAGGUGGCAUGAAGGACUCAAAGCAUUGCCCCACGUCAUUCAAGAGAUCUGUGGUGCAGCAGGGUAACUCAGCUCUACAGCUAGCAACUGAAAACAUCCAUCAUGUCUACUCAGCAUUUUUUUGACUUACACAGCUUUACCCCAGAGCUCAAGCAAUUAUUUGCAGCCUGAAAAAAAGGGCAGCUACAGUCACUCGUAAGAUUUGGUCUCCUGCAUGGCUAUACAGGAGACUUCAGUCAUCUUGUGGGCACAAAUACAGUUUCUGAAUUGUGAGUGUAUAUAUGUAUGUUAUCAUACUCUUUCACUGUGAAAGUAGUAACUACUGUAUGUGGUAAAAUGAUAUAUUGUUGUCCGCAGAAUGUCUUUGGCAACAGGAUGUUCACUAGCCUUGGAAUUUUGCCUUGUAUAAAUAUUUUUAAUCUACUCCAUGUAGGCAUAUUUUGGCUGCAAAAUAAAGGGUUUUGGAGAUUAAUAUAUCCAGGCUCAGUUCUGCUUAUACAUCCUACAUACAUCAAGUUUUUAUUGAAC
ensembl:lncRNA